UACGUAGGGGGCAAGCGUUGUCCGGAAUCAUUGGGCGUAAAGCGCGUGUAGGCGGCCCGGUAAGUCCGCUGUGAAAGUCCAGGGCUCAACCCUGGAAUGCCGGUGGAUACUGUGGGACUAGAGUACGGAAGAGGCGAGUGGAAUUCCUGGUGUAGCGGUGGAAUGCGCAGAUAUCAGGAGGAACACCAAUAGCGAAGGCAGCUCGCUGGGACGUUACUGACACUGAGGCGCGAAAGCGUGGGGAGCGAACAGG
rnacentral:rRNA from 1 species